rnacentral:lncRNA from 1 species
AUAGUAUUAAAACAGUAGCACAAUAUAGAAUAGAUACUGCAAGCAUACGUAUCUCUGUGUGCUAGAAUUUUAAGCCUUAGUUAGCUUACCAAUACGAAAAGGUCAGUGUUGUUAAAAAGCUAGGCAAUCCACAUAUACACUUCAACACCUUCUCUCACUAGGCAAUCCACAUAUACACUUCAACACCUUUUCUCACAUGUGACACGGAAAAUCAACACGUGGAAAAGGCUAGGCAAUCCACAUAUACACUUCAACACCUUCUCUCACAUGUGACACAGAAAAUCAACACGUGGAGGACUAAGAGGUAUGGCUCAAGAGGCCUAUGCGUGGACAAAGGGGGGCAGCAGCACAGAACAAAAUUUCAGUAGUGGCUAGUAUUUGAGAAGAUGUGUAGAUUAUCGUUAAC